AGAACGAACGCUGGCGGCAGGCUUAACACAUGCAAGUCGAGCGCCCCGCAAGGGGAGCGGCAGACGGGUGAGUAACACGUGGGAACGUACCCUUUACUACGGAAUAACGCAUGGAAACGUGUGCUAAUACCGUAUGUGCCCUUUGGGGGAAAGAUUUAUCGGUAAAGGAUCGGCCCGCGUUGGAUUAGCUAGUUGGUGGGGUAAAGGCCUACCAAGGCGACGAUCCAUAGCUGGUCUGAGAGGAUGAUCAGCCACAUUGGGACUGAGACACGGCCCAAACUCCUACGGGAGGCAGCAGUGGGGAAUAUUGGACAAUGGGCGCAAGCCUGAUCCAGCCAUGCCGCGUGAGUGAUGAAGGCCCUAGGGUUGUAAAGCUCUUUCACCGGAGAAGAUAAUGACGGUAUCCGGAGAAGAAGCCCCGGCUAACUUCGCGCCAGCAGCCGC
rnacentral:rRNA from 1 species